UACGUAGGUGGCAAGCGUUGUCCGGAAUUAUUGGGCGUAAAGCGCGCGCAGGCGGUCCCUUAAGUCUGAUGUGAAAGCCCACGGCUCAACCGUGGAGGGUCAUUGGAAACUGGGGGACUUGAGUACAGAAGAGGAAAGCGGAAUUCCACGUGUAGCGGUGAAAUGCGUAGAUAUCUGGAGGAACACCGGUGGCGAAGGCGGCAUCCUGGACCGGCAUUGACGCUGAGGCGCGAAAGCCAGGGGAGCAAACGGG
rnacentral:rRNA from 1 species